rnacentral:rRNA from 1 species
AAUCAACGCUGGCGGCGUGCCUAACACAUGCAAGUCGAGCGCGAAAGGGUAGCAAUCCCCGAGUAGAGCGGCGAACGGGUGAGUAACGCGUGGGUAAUCUACCUCCGAGUGGGGAAUAACAGCGGGAAACUGCUGCUAAUACCGCAUGACAUCGUCGAGCCUUCGGGUUUGACGAUCAAAGCCGGGGACCGCAAGGCCUGGCGCUUGGAGAGGAGCCCGCGUCCGAUUAGCAGUU